CCUACGGGAGGCAGCAGUAGGGAAUUUUCGGCAAUGGGGGGAACCCUGACCGAGCAACGCCGCGUGAACGAAGAAGUUAUUCGUAAUGUAAAGUUCUUUUAACAGGGAAGAAAGAGAAAUUUGACGGUACCUGAAGAAUAAGCUCCGGCUAACUACGUGCCAGCAGCCGCGGUAAUACGUAGGGAGCGAGCGUUAUCCGGAAUUAUUGGGCGAAAAGGGUGCGUAGAUGGCAUAGUAAGUCUUUUGUAAAAAUGCUGGGCUCAACCCAGUAGGGCAAAAGAUACUGCAAAGCCAGAGUAUGACAGAGGCAAGUGGAACUACAUGUGUAGCGGUAAAAUGCGUAAAUAUAUGUAAGAACACCAGUGGCGAAGGCGGCUUGCUGGGUCGAUACUGACAUUGAGGCACGAAAGCGUGGGGAGCAAACAGGAUUAGAUACCCCAGUAGUC
rnacentral:rRNA from 1 species